AUUCAAUCUCAUAAACCCUUUACACUAGAUUUGCAUCCGCUAAGAUCUCAUUUGGUUCUGUUACUUACUGUCAAUAACACUGCUUCUGGAUCUGCCAAAAUAAAUCCUUAGAUUCUGCAUGUGCGAGCGCAUGAUGACCAAUAGUUCAAAUCUUUUGGGAUCCUAGUAAAGCGAAGUUCGAAUCCGGACCCAACCCAGAACCUCAAUCUGGGCUCUCUAUAGCCGUGGUUGUGGACGGCAAAAUGACGCUUCUCGUCGGCGAUUUGACCAAGGAAGCUUACUCGAAGAGCAAAGCGAAAAGGCCGGAGAUAGAUCAAGGUACUGUUCUACCGACUUCUACGAGGAGAACAUUAAUGAAUUCUUAACCUAUUAAACGGUGUCGUUUUCGAAUGUGCUUACUGCUUAGUGGUCAACCUACUUAAUGUUCUUAUAAAAAAAAAAAAAAUACCUACUUAAUGUGCUAUCUAAGAACAACCACAAUGGUUGUAAUUUGCUUGGGCAAAUAUAAUGUAUCCAGCUACUACACCUCUCCGUAUGUCCCCCCAUCUCUCUUUCUCAUAAAGAAUAUUAUAUGAAACGAAGCACGCUUUUCUUUCUUCUC